UCGGUUGAUUCAAACUUGAUGUCAAUGCCUGAUUUGCCUGCACAGAUAAUGACAGCUGACACCUGUCAUCCUCGGAAUGCUGUACCCCGCCGCGUUCAAGAUAUUUUAGCAAACCAAAAACUGUAUAAGUGUUUAUUUAAUUUUAUAUCAACUACUGUUGAACAAAUUUAAUGUUGUUGUGUUUUUAUCUGUAAUUAUUUUAGUUUAGUUUAUUAUUUUCUGUUUUUAUUGUAUGUUUGUAUGCCUAUGGACUUGUUUCCGGCGAAUAAAUGAUUUAAAAAAAAAAAAAAAAUCCACUUCAUUCAUACAACAUACAAUAACAAUGAUAAAACAAAAUUACAAAUGGAAUUUCCUUAUUUAAAUAGAUAUUUGUGCACUAAAUACAUAAUAAUAUGACAAAGAAGAAGAAGACGUUGCGUGUCACCGUAUAGCCAAGGAAAUAUCUUGUGAAAGUUUUAACUCAAGGCGGAAAUUUAUUGAAAAAAUACUCAACAUAACCUACAAUUACAGUGAAAUACUGACAAUAUAUUGUACCGUGAUAAUAUUUCUGAAUAAUAAGUGCAAACCUAUACUCUAAGAUCGUGCUUUCAACCAUAUACUUAAUACAAUUCCAUAAUCAUAUCGAAAUCCAAAAGUUCGUAAGUCGUAAGUGAUCAUAGUUUAGGUAUGUACUUAUUAGACUCAUGCAUUGUAAACUCUAUAAACGAUUACUCGUAAUGUAUUAAUCAUAUUAAAAGUUGAA